rnacentral:rRNA from 1 species
UAGGGAAUCUUCCGCAAUGGGCGAAAGCCUGACGGAGCAACGCCGCGUGAGUGAAGAAGGUCUUCGGAUCGUAAAACUCUGUUAUUAGGGAAGAACAAAUGUGUAAGUAACUAUGCACGUCUUGACGGUACCUAAUCAGAAAGCCACGGCUAACUACGUGCCAGCAGCCGCGGUAAUACGUAGGUGGCAAGCGUUAUCCGGAAUUAUUGGGCGUAAAGCGCGCGUAGGCGGUUUUUUAAGUCUGAUGUGAAAGCCCACGGCUCAACCGUGGAGGGUCAUUGGAAACUGGAAAACUUGAGUGCAGAAGAGGAAAGUGGAAUUCCAUGUGUAGCGGUGAAAUGCGCAGAGAUAUGGAGGAACACCAGUGGCGAAGGCGACUUUCUGGUCUGUAACUGACGCUGAUGUGCGAAAGCGGGGGGAUCAAACAGG